rnacentral:rRNA from 1 species
AAUGGCUGCAUGAGGACCAAACUGUCUCCUUUGACUAAUCAAUGAACCUGAUCUCCCAGUACAAAAGCUGGAAUAACACCAUAAGACGAGAAGACCCUGUGGAGCUUAAAAUACAAGUACUAACCACCUCCACCCCAAAAAGGCCCACACCCCCAAAAUAGUACACAUUUUUAGUUGGGGCGACUACGGAACCAAAUAAAACUUCCAUGACACAGGGACCCCCCCCCUCCCAAGGUCAACAAACCAACGAACUAUUUGACCCAGUAACACUGAUCAACGAACCAAGUUACCCCAGGGAUAACAGCGCCAUCCUCUUCAAGAGCCCCUAUCGCCAAGAGGGUUUACGACCUCGAUGUUGGAUCAGGACACCCAGGUGGUGCAACCGCUACCAA